UACGGGGGGGGCAAGCGUUGUUCGGAAUUACUGGGCGUAAAGGGCUCGUAGGCGGCCAACUAAGUCGGACGUGAAAUCCCCAGGCUCAACCUGGGAACUGCGUCUGAUACUGGAUGGCUUGAAUCCGGGAGAGGGAUGCAGAAUUCCAGGUGUAGCGGUGAAAUGCGCAGAUAUCGGGAGGAACACCAGUAGCGAAGGCGGCUCGCUGGGCCACACCUGACGCUGAGGCACGAAAGCGUGGGUAGCAAACAGG
rnacentral:rRNA from 1 species